rnacentral:rRNA from 1 species
CUACGGGAGGCAGCAGUGAGGAAUAUUGGUCAAUGGGCGAGAGCCUGAACCAGCCAAGUAGCGUGCAGGACGACGGCCCUAUGGGUUGUAAACUGCUUUUAUAAGGGAAUAAAGUGGGUCACGUGUGACUUUUUGCAUGUACCUUAUGAAUAAGGACCGGCUAAUUCCGUGCCAGCAGCCGCGGUAAUACGGAAGGUCCGGGCGUUAUCCGGAUUUAUUGGGUUUAAAGGGAGCGUAGGCCGGAGAUUAAGCGUGUUGUGAAAUGUAGUGGCUCAACCUCUGCACUGCAGCGCGAACUGGUCUUCUUGAGUACGCACAACGUGGGCGGAAUUCGUGGUGUAGCGGUGAAAUGCUUAGAUAUCACGAAGAACUCCGAUUGCGAAGGCAGCUCACGGGAGCGCAACUGACGCUGAAGCUCGAAAGUGCGGGUAUCGAACAGGAUUAGAUACCCUGGUAGG